rnacentral:rRNA from 1 species
CGACGAGGUAGAUAGGGCAGGGGUGGAAGUGUGGUAACACAUGGAGCUGACUGUUACUAAUAGGGUGAGGGCUUGACCAAG